GGUCGCUUAGCUCAGUUGGUUAGAGCGUGGUGCUAAUAUCUUCUCUGUUCUUCUUUCGAACAUGAGACAGGUCCAAACGCCAAGGUCGCGAGUUCGACCCUCGUAGUGAUCA